rnacentral:rRNA from 1 species
CUACCAUGCAGUCGACGCACCGCAAGGUGAGUGGCAGACGGGUGAGUAACGCGUGGGAACGUACCCUUUACUACGGAAUAACUCAGGGAAACUUGUGCUAAUACCGUAUGUGCCCUUCGGGGGAAAGAUUUAUCGGUAAAGGAUCGGCCCGCGUUGGAUUAGCUAGUUGGUGAGGUAAAGGCUCACCAAGGCGACGAUCCAUAGCUGGUCUGAGAGGAUGAUCAGCCACACUGGGACUGAGACACGGCCCAGACUCCUACGGGAGGCAGCAGUGGGGAAUAUUGGACAAUGGGCGCAAGCCUGAUCCAGCCAUGCCGCGUGAGUGAUGAAGGCCCUAGGGUUGUAAAGCUCUUUCAACGGUGAAGAUAAUGACGGUAACCGUAGAAGAAGCCCCGGCUAACUUCGUGCCAGC